rnacentral:rRNA from 1 species
UACGAAGGGGGCUAGCGUUGCUCGGAAUCACUGGGCGUAAAGCGCACGUAGGCGGAUUUCUAAGUCAGGGGUGAAAUCCUGGAGCUCAACCUCGGAACUGCCUUUGAUACUGCGAGUCUCGAGUCCGAUAGAGGUGGGUGGAAUUCCUAGUGUAGAGGUGAAAUUCGUAGAUAUUAGGAAGAACACCAGUGGCGAAGGCGGCUCACUGGCCCGGUACUGACGCUGAGGUGCGAAAGCGUGGGGAGCAAACAGG